rnacentral:rRNA from 1 species
UACGUAGGGGGCAAGCGUUAUCCGGAUUUACUGGGUGUAAAGGGAGCGUAGACGGCAGGGCAAGUCUGGAGUGAAAGGCAGGGGCCCAACCCCUGGACUGCUCUGGAAACUGGCGGGCUGGAGUGCCGGAGAGGUAAGCGGAAUUCCUAGUGUAGCGGUGAAAUGCGUAGAUAUUAGGAGGAACACCAGUGGCGAAGGCGGCUUACUGGACGGCAACUGACGCUGAGGCUCGAAAGCGUGGGGAGCAAACGGG